CCUACGGGAGGCAGCAGUAAGGAAUAUUGGUCAAUGGACGAAAGUCUGAACCAGCCAUGCCGCGUGAAGGAUUAAGGCCCUCUGGGUUGUAAACUUCUUUUAUCUGGGACGAAAAAAGGGUAUUCUUACUCACUUGACGGUACCAGAGGAAUAAGCACCGGCUAACUCCGUGCCAGCAGCCGCGGUAAUACGGAGGGUGCAAGCGUUAUCCGGAUUUACUGGGUUUAAAGGGUGCGUAGGUGGGCUUGUAAGUCAGUGGUGAAAUCUCCGGGCUUAACCCGGAAACUGCCAUUGAUACUAUAGGUCUUGAAUUAUCUGGAGGUAAGCGGAAUAUGUCAUGUAGCGGUGAAAUGCUUAGAUAUGACAUAGAACACCAAUUGCGAAGGCAGCUUACUACGGAUACAUUGACACUGAGGCACGAAAGCGUGGGGAUCAAACAGGAUUAGAUACCCUGGUAGUCCACGCCCUAAACGAUGGAUACUCGACAUCAGCGAUACACUGUUGGUGUCUGAGCGAAAGCAUUAAGUAUCCCACCUGGGAAGUACGAUCGCAAGAUUGAAACUCAAAUGAAUUGACGG
rnacentral:rRNA from 1 species